CCGGUUCUCACUGCGAGACCAGCACGCGGGAGCCGUGGCUCGCAACCCCUGGAGUUGUAGGCCCAGGCGUUUCAGCCUCCGCAGCUCAGCUGUGGGAAGGAAGGGGCACAGCGUGGAGGGCGGACUGGCCGGUGUCCUCGCGGCCAGGUCGAGCUGGGGCCCCGGGAGGAGGCGGGAAGCCCGACUGCUCGCCGCCUCUCGCUGCCCAGGGUCGAUGCCAGGCUCUGGCCCGGGGGCCCGCAGCUCCCAGCCUUUCUCGGCCACGACUGCAGGUCCCUGGGCCAUGGCUGGAUACGCAGAAGUUCACAGGAGCAGGUGGAGUUGGGGCAGUUGGCCCAAGAGUGACCACAUCAGUACAGAGAAGAAGUAACUACUUCCCCAGAUUUGCAGCCACAUGACAUGUGAAGCUGGGGCUGGCACGCAAGCGUGUUCUCCUGCCACCCCGGGCCUCCCUGUCUGCAGUGGGUGGGUAACGGCCCCCACCGACAUCCCGCGUUGAUCCCUGGCCUUGGAAAUGUUAUCUUAUGUGGCGAAGAAUUUGCAGUGAGAUUAAGAUAAGGAUUUGAAGGAGGACUCCAAAGCAAGAUACUGAGAGAUUCACCACCAGCGCCAGCCCCUGGAGCAGAGGCCUAAACAUCUCCAGUCUUUGCCUGAACCUGCUGUCACCAUGGAUUCCAGCAGAGCCUCCUCAGAGUGGAGACAGCCCCGGAAGACACAGCCACCUCACAGAGACCAAGCUGUCCCCACAGUGAGAAGGAUUUCACUGGAGCUGCAAACCAGACCGAGGCAGUGAUCAGCAGGCCCUGGCCUGCUCAGCACCCCUCUGUGGCGGGCUGCUCCUCUUCGGACAGGCCAGCCUGGCUUCCUUUGUCAGGAGCUGAAGUCCUCCCUCUGUUUGCUCUCACUCUCCUUUGUCAAGGGACCAUCUCAUCCUUGACUUUUCUCCCCCUCAAGCCAAAGUCCCUUCUUAUUCUCUGUAACUUUCCAAUUAAAGCUUGGCUGUAA
rnacentral:lncRNA from 1 species